UCUUUGAUAGAGAAAGAUAGUCUUAUUGCGAUUCCUAUAAGAGGAAAGAGAAAAUAGUGCAAUGCUUUGUCUUUAUCACCGACCGGGUUUUUUUUCAUGGUCGGGUUAUGGCAGCUUAGGAAGGAGGGUGAUGGCGAUAUACAGAAAUUUAUAAGAGUGAAAGAGACAAAAUCCCGCAAGAUGCCAUACAUUAAACUGUCAAUCAUAUUGUCAAGAGUGCUAGUAAACAACGUGGUUUUCUUAUUGUAGAAGUUUUAUAAAGUGAAUGAUUGUGUUUAUUAAGUAUUUAAUGGAGGUGUAAGAAGUUUUUACGUACAAUUAACAUGGUGGGGUGUUCAGUGGUUGCCUACAAAAGCAAUAACUUGCGAAAAUAAGCGGGUGUAACAUUUCAUGCCUCUCCGACGGAGGAUGAAAUUGUUAAAGAAUGGAUUGCGGGAACUGGAAAAUCAAAUUGGAUGCCUCACAAAUACUCGCGUAUUUGUUCCAAACAUUUUGAACAACAUUGUGUCCGCAAACUGGGCAAACGAACUUUCAUCGAAAAGUUUUCUUUUCCAACCUUGUUCAUACACGAGAGGAGAGAGAAAAUUCUUUUCUUCAUCAUGUCAUGGAAAUCGUCCAUUCGUGCACGUCGUCGUCGUGGCAGUCUCAACAGCAUUCUGAAGCUAUUAUUGAACUUCAUAUAAUUGAUCCACAGGUUACAAGUGUAUGUGUAAAUAAAGUUUUCUUGACCCCCACAAUAUGUACAACGCGCAACACGUAAGAUUUUUUAUUUAAACAUAAAUAUUCGGUUUUAAGUAACAGUUUUAAUGUA